rfam:Bombyx mori DNA, contig: Bm_scaf35_contig21258, strain: p50T/Dazao, build 2, whole genome shotgun sequence.
UUAACUCAAAUUUGGAUGGAGUUGGAUCGUUUGCCUACGUUUGCCGCUAGGGGGGCGCUGUUCCAACUGCAUACAAAUUUGUGUUA